GCGCUUGCUUCAGCAGCACAUAUACUAAAAUUGGAACGAUGCAGAGAUUAGCAGGGCCCCAGCGCAAGGAUGACCCACAAAUUCAUGAAGCAUUCCAUAUUUUU